GACGAACGCUGGCGGCGUGCUUAACACAUGCGAGUCGAACGGAAAGGCCCUGCUUUUGUGGGGUGCUCGAGUGGUGAACGGGUGAGUAACACGUGAGUAACCUGCCCUUGACUUUGGGAUAACUUCAGGAAACUGGGGCUAAUACCGGAUAGGAGCUCCUGCUGCAUGGUGGGGGUUGGAAAGUUUCGGCGGUUGGGGAUGGACUCGCGGCUUAUCAGCUUGUUGGUGGGGUAGUGGCUUACCAAGGCUUUGACGGGUAGCCGGCCUGAGAGGGUGACCGGCCACAUUGGGACUGAGAUACGGCCCAGACUCCUACGGGAGGCAGCAGUGGGGAAUAUUGCACAAUGGGCGGAAGCCUGAUGCAGCAACGCCGCGUGCGGGAUGACGGCCUUCGGGUUGUAAACCGCUUUCGCCUGUGACGAAGCGUGAGUGACGGUAAUGGGUAAAGAAGCACCGGCUAACUACGUG
rnacentral:rRNA from 1 species